rnacentral:rRNA from 1 species
CCUACGGGAGGCAGCAGUGAGGAAUAUUGGUCAAUGGACGAGAGUCUGAACCAGCCAAGUAGCGUGAAGGAUGACUGCCCUAUGGGUUGUAAACUUCUUUUAUAAAGGAAUAAAAUGAGGCACGUGUGCCUUUUUGCAUGUACUUUAUGAAUAAGGAUCGGCUAACUCCGUGCCAGCAGCCGCGGUAAUACGGAGGAUGCGAGCGUUAUCCGGAUUUAUUGGGUUUAAAGGGAGCGUAGAUGGGUUGUUAAGUCAGUUGUGAAAGUUUGCGGCUCAACCGUAAGAUUGCAAUUGAUACUGGCGGUCUUGAGUACAGGAGAGGUAGGCGGAAUGCGUGGUGUAGCGGUGAAAUGCUUAGAUAUUACGAAGAACCCCGAUUGCGAAGGCAGCUUACUAGACUGUAACUGACGUUGAGGCUCGAAAGUGUGGGUAUCAAACAGGAUUAGAUACCCGAGUAGUC